UACGUAGGGUGCAAGCCUUAUCCGGAAUCAUUGGGCGCAAAGAGCUCGUAGGCGGUUCAACAAGUCGGCUGUGCAAGCCCGAGGCUCAACCUCGGAAUUGCAGUCGAUACUGUUGUGACUCGAGUCCGGUAGAGGAGAAUGGAAUUCGCGGUGUAGCGGUGAAAUGCGCAGAUAUCGGGAGGAACACCAGUAGCGAAGGCGGUUCUCAGGGCCGGCACUGACGCUGAGGAGCGAAAGCGUGGGGAGCAAACAGG
rnacentral:misc_RNA from 1 species